CCUACGGGAGGCAGCAGUAAGGAAUAUUGGUCAAUGGAGGCAACUCUGAACCAGCCAUGCCGCGUGCAGGAAGACUGCCCUAUGGGUUGUAAACUGCUUUUAUCCGGGAAUAAACCUGCUUACGUGUAAGUAGCUGAAUGUACCGGAAGAAUAAGGAUCGGCUAACUCCGUGCCAGCAGCCGCGGUAAUACGGAGGAUCCAAGCGUUAUCCGGAUUUAUUGGGUUUAAAGGGUGCGUAGGCGGCCUGUUAAGUCAGGGGUGAAAGACGGUAGCUCAACUAUCGCAGUGCCCUUGAUACUGAUGGGCUUGAAUGGACUAGAGGUAGGCGGAAUGAGACAAGUAGCGGUGAAAUGCAUAGAUAUGUCUCAGAACACCGAUUGCGAAGGCAGCUUACUAUGGUCUUAUUGACGCUGAGGCACGAAAGCGUGGGGAUCAAACAGGAUUAGAUACCCUGGUAGUCCACGCCCUAAACGAUGAACACUCGCUGUUGGCGAUACACAGUCAGCGGCAAGCGAAAGCGUUAAGNGUUCCAACCUGGGGAGUUACGCCGCAAGGGUUGAAACGUUCGAAAGAGAGUUAGAGNGNGAGAGCGACGACGCGACGACGGAGGAGGAGG
rnacentral:rRNA from 1 species